rnacentral:lncRNA from 1 species
UAUAGGAAAAACUUCAAAAACCCUCCUGUGGUAUCGCACUUUUUCAUUUUAGUACCUUGUGGUUUAAAGUGUAUGAAGUUAGUACCAUGUGGUUUCUCGCUUUAUCACUUUAGUACCCUGUGGUUUAAAGUGUAUCAAGUUAGUACUCUAUGGUUUUAUUUUUGUAUCAAGUUAGUACCAUGUGGUUUUAUUUUUGUAUCAAGUUAGUACCCUGUAGUUUUUGAAACCACAGGGUACUAAAGCGAUAAAGUGCGAAACCACAUAGUACUAACUUGAUACACUUUAAACCACAAGAUACCAAAGUGAAAAAGUGCAAAACUACUAGGUACUAACUUGAUACACUUAAAACCACAGGGUACUAAAGUGAAAAAAAGUGAACCCACAAGGGAGGUAUUUGAAGUUUUUCCAAUAAUAUAUAUGAAUGUCUGAUGUUAUAUUUUAACUUGUAUUUUAAAUUUUAGAUUUUUAAUAUAAUAUGUUUUGAAUCAUGGUAAAGAGAAAUAAUUAUUUCGGGUUCGGAUUUUUCCAUUUUGGGUUCGGGUUUGGAUUUGGAUAUGAAUUUUCAAAAUUCAUCAGGUUGGGGUUCGGAUUUUGAGUUUGAAUUAAUUUUGGGUACGAAUUCGGAUUUUGAAAAACUCGCCCCAAAUCUAACCCAUUGACAUUCCUAAUUAGGGUGAGCAUUAUUCGGUUGAGACCGAAUUACCGAACCGAAUCGACCGAAAUUAGUCACUUUUACGUAUAAUAUGGUUCAGUUUGGUUUGGUUCUAAAACUAAGAAACCAAAAAAAUCAAAUAAAUCGAAUUAAUUAAAAUUUUACUAAUUUAAUAUAUAUGUGUGUGUGUCUUAAAUUUUAAAUAAUUUAUAUAUUCAUUUUACAUAAGAAUUAAAUAAUUAGAGAUAUUAAUUAUUAUUAUCUUAUAUUAAUCAUUUCUAACAUAAAAUUAAUUAUGAUUAUAUUUAUUUUUAUUCGUUUAAAAAAACUAAACCAAUAGAAAUACUUUACUAAAACCAAAUAAACGGAGCAGAACCGACCGAAUUAUUUCAGUUCGUAUUCGAUUCCCUUCAUCCCUCUAAUUCGAUCGGUUCAGUUCAAUUUAUAACAAAAAACUGCAAAAAUCGAAUCGAACAUAUCAAUACUCACCCCUAGUUGCAACUAUUGGCUUAAGUAGGCCAACGUAUUGCGCUGUGACAGGAGGCCAUAUUGGACCGAGUCAUAUCCUAAAUGGUGUAAAGCUGGAUGUAUAAAGUUAUGUUUAAAGUAACGUGAGACUGGUUGGAUCAAGUCACAAUCGAAAUCCGUGGACGCUGUAUCUGUACGCUUUAAUAAGUGAAUUGGUUGCGUAUUUCUCACCGCUCAAGUUUUUGGGAUUAAUAGUUAACACCAUCGAUCCACAGCAAUCUCUCUCUCUACUCUCUCUCUCUCCUUUCUUUCUUUCUCUCUCUAAAACUCUCUGUCUCUCUCAUACACACUGCCCCC